GAAAAUUCAUUAAAAUGAAAGCCGCUAACUUUCAUCAAACCUCUUAACGGUUAAUUUUCU
rnacentral:tRNA from 1 species